rnacentral:rRNA from 1 species
UGGGGAAUAUUGCACAAUGGGCGAAAGCCUGAUGCAGCAACGCCGCGUGAGGGACGACGGCCUUCGGGUUGUAAACCUCUUUUAGCAAGGAAGAAGCGAAAGUGACGGUACUUGCAGAAAAAGCGCCGGCCAACUACGUGCCAGCAGCCGCGGUAAUACGUAGGGCGCAAGCGUUAUCCGGAAUUAUUGGGCGUAAAGAGCUCGUAGGCGGUUUGUCGCGUCUGCUGUGAAAACCCGAGGCUCAACCUCGGGCCUGCAGUGGGUACGGGCAGACUAGAGUGCGGUAGGGGAGAUUGGAACUCCUGGUGUAGCGGUGGAAUGCGCAGAUAUCAGGAAGAACACCGACGGCGAAGGCAGAUCUCUGGGCCGUAACUGACGCUGAGGAGCGAAAGGGUGGGGAGCAAACAGGCUUAGAUACCCUGGUAGUCCACCCCGUAAACGUUGGGAACUAGUUGUGGGGUCCAUUCCACGGAUUCCGUGACGCAGCUAACGCAUUAAGUUCCCCGCCUGGGGAGUACGGCCGCAAGGCUAAAACUUGAAAGGAAUUGACGGGGUCAUAGCUGUUUCCU